GAUUCUGGCUCAGAACGAACGCUGGUGGCGUGUCUAUACAUGCGAGUCGAGCGAGGCAGCAAUGCCGAGCGGCGAACGGGUGAGUAACGCGUAAGCAAUCUGCCCCAUAUCAGGAAAUACCCGUGCCAACGCGCGGUUAAUGUCCAGGAGAGUGGCCCUCUGCAUGGAGGGUUGACUAGAGAUUUAUCGGUAUGGGAUGAGCUUGCGUCCGAUUAGCUAGUUGGCGGGGCAACGGCCCACCAAGGCGACGAUCGGUAGCCGGCCUGAGAGGGUGAUCGGCCACAUUGGGACUGAGAUACGGCCCAGACUCCUACGGGAGGCAGCAGUAGGGAAUAUUGCACAAUGGGGGAAACCCUGAUGCAGCAACGCCACGUGUGGGAAGAAGCAUUUCGGUGUGUAAACCACUGUCAUGAGGGAAUAAGGCCCUUAUCCGUAAGGGACUUGAAUGUACCUUGAGAGGAAGCACCGGCAAACUUCGUGCCAGCCGCCGC
rnacentral:rRNA from 1 species